rnacentral:rRNA from 1 species
UGGGGAAUUUUGGACAAUGGGCGCAAGCCUGAUCCAGCCAUGCCGCGUGCGGGAAGAAGGCCUUCGGGUUGUAAACCGCUUUUGUCAGGGAAGAAAUCUUCUGAGUUAAUACCUCGGGAGGAUGACGGUACCUGAAGAAUAAGCACCGGCUAACUACGUGCCAGCAGCCGCGGUAAUACGUAGGGUGCAAGCGUUAAUCGGAAUUACUGGGCGUAAAGCGUGCGCAGGCGGUUUUGUAAGACAGAGGUGAAAUCCCCGGGCUCAACCUGGGAACUGCCUUUGUGACUGCAAGGCUUGAGUGCGGCAGAGGGGGAUGGAAUUCCGCGUGUAGCAGUGAAAUGCGUAGAUAUGCGGAGGAACACCGAUGGCGAAGGCAAUCCCCUGGGCCUGCACUGACGCUCAUGCACGAAAGCGUGGGGAGCAAAACAGGAUUAGAUACCCUGGUAGUCCACGCCCUAAACGAUGUCAACUGGUUGUUGGGAAGGUUCCUUCUCAGUAACGUAGCUAACGCGUGAAGUUGACCGCCUGGGGAGUACGGCCGCAAGGUUGAAACUUAAAUGAAUUGACGGGGUCAUAGCUG